rnacentral:rRNA from 1 species
UACGGAGGGGGCUAGCGUUGUUCGGAAUUACUGGGCGUAAAGCGCACGUAGGCGGCUUUGUAAGUUAGAGGUGAAAGCCCGGGGCUCAACUCCGGAAUUGCCUUUAAGACUGCAUCGCUAGAAUUGUGGAGAGGUAAGUGGAAUUCCGAGUGUAGAGGUGAAAUUCGUAGAUAUUCGGAAGAACACCAGUGGCGAAGGCGCUCUGCUAGGCCGUAACUGACACUGAGGGACGAAAGCUAGGGGAGCGAAUGGG